UACGUAGGGUGCAAGCGUUGUCCGGAAUUAUUGGGCGUAAAGAGCUCGUAGGCGGUUUGUCGCGUCGGGAGUGAAAACUCAGGGCUUAACCCUGAGCCUGCUUCCGAUACGGGCAGACUAGAGGUAUGCAGGGGAGAACGGAAUUCCUGGUGUAGCGGUGGAAUGCGCAGAUAUCAGGAAGAACACCCGUGGCUAAGGCGGCUCUCUAGUACGGUACUGACGCUGAGACGCGAAAGCGUGGGGAGCGAACAGG
rnacentral:rRNA from 1 species